rnacentral:lncRNA from 1 species
GAAAGUAGAAGAAUGAUUAAUGUCUUUCCACUUUCUUUGUCUUUUCUUUACCAGGUGGGUUUGAAAAUCAACUAUUCGAGCCCAUUAAUGACAUUAUUGCUGCCCACUUUUCUCAUCGUCCUGGCUGAUUUUGUCAGCUUUGCCCUGCCGCUGCAUGGAGGUGGACGCAACGGGUUUAAGGUCACUCUGGUGCUCAGCUUCGUCAUGUUCCUCAACCUGCUCAACAGUCAGCUCCCUGGAGAUGGGGACUGUAGCCCCAUAAUACGAAUCCACUUUUGCAUUUGCUUGGUCUUGUUGGUCCUGAGCAUGCUGGUGUCCAUGGUGCUGACUCGUUUGGCCUAUGAUGGGAGCCUCGCUUUUUUCUCCUUGUCAAAACGCCAGGCACCACCAAACAUAAAAGACAAUGAGAAGAAAGAUGAGGAAGAGCUGAAAGCAGACAUCCAUGUCGUUCUGCCCGAUGGCCCAGAAGACGUUCAGAUGCUCAGAAAAGUGGUGACGUUCCUUCAACGUCUUGAUGACCAGAAGAACCGGAAUGAACGUAAACACGCAUUUGCUGACAAACUGGACAAAAUCUUCUUUUUGUUUUAUGUCAUUUUGGGUCUAAUCUAUAUGUGUGUAAUGCUUGGUAUAAUGGUAGCUUAUAAAUGCGAUGUUGAUCAUUUUAAUUUCUGGUACUAA